AUCCUUUUGUAGCCCCUAAGCAUGAUGAUGGGGUUUUCACGCUCAUAUAUAAGACGUGCCUCCCUCAAACCUUCUUACCAGGUUACAUGUUACCCAUCCGACA